rnacentral:rRNA from 1 species
GCACAACGCGAAGAACCUUACCCACCUUUGACAUGUACGGAAUCCUUUAGAGAUAGAGGAGUGCUCGAAAGAGAGCCGUAACACAGGUGCUGCAUGGCUGUCGUCAGCUCGUGUCGUGAGAUGUUGGGUUAAGUCCCGCAACGAGCGCAACCCUUGCCAUUAGUUGCUACAUUUAGUUGAGCACUCUAAUGGGACUGCCGGUGACAAACCGGAGGAAGGUGGGGAUGACGUCAAGUCCUCAUGGCCCUUAUAGGUGGGGCUACACACGUCAUACAAUGGCUGGUACAAAGGGUUGCCAACCCGCGAGGGGGAGCUAAUCCCAUAAAGCCAGUCGUAGUCCGGAUCGCAGUCUGCAACUCGACUGCGUGAAGUCGGAAUCGCUAGUAAUCGCGAAUCAGAAUGUCGCGGUGAAUACGUACCCGGGUCUUGUACACACCG